rnacentral:lncRNA from 1 species
GUUCAGUUUUAAGUGAAAUGGUUCAUAUUCGAAACUCAAUUUGAAGGCUCAUGAGUAACUUGCUUUAUAAACGAGUCGAGUACUUACGAGCCGAGUAGGUCCGAGUAAUGAUCCGAGUCGAAUCUGGCGCAAAAAUAUAAAUCCCUUAUCGAAUUCGAGCUCAAUUUUUUCGAAUCGAGCUGAAUCUGAGCAUGACGGUGUUCGCUGAUAUUCGACUCGUUUACGCCCCUAAUCGAAGCAGGUUUCUUCUUCCAAUUCUUCCAAACGAAGCAGAUCGAAUUAUUCUUGUCCUACUAAAUAACUCAAAAAAAAAAAAAAUAGAUCGAAGCAGGUAGUUUCUUUCUCAGAUGCGCCGACUUCGAUCGAAGCAGGUAGGCUCGCGGCUUCCUGGAACAUCUAAGUUUCUUUCUUUAAGUCGGACCGGAAUUCCUCCAGAUCACGACGGUAAGUUUCGAGCACGGAUUCGGAUGGGUCGUGAAGGUCUUCAUGAAAGAGUCUAUUACUGAUAUUCAUUCAAUUUCUUGUAUAAUGAUGGAGUUUAUUAUUGUAGAACAUGUAAAAGUGGGAUAUGUUUUGUGGAGGAGAUGAAAGAGAUGUAUGUAAGACUCUGAGUGUUAAUUGGGGAAAUGUAAAGUUGUGCUUUUGAGGUUGCAGAAAGAUACAGAAGAAGAGAGAAAUAGACGAUAAAUUGGGAGAGACGACGGAAUGUUGUAGGCGGAGAUAAACCAGAUCAAUCUAUACAAAUCACCAACAACUCUAUAUUUUUCAGAAUUAAAUGAUUAUUGGGGCAGAUCUAAAGAUUAACUAUGAUUUUCCCGGCAGAUCUGAGUUUUGAAGGUUGAUGAUGAACUUGAAUUUUGGUUUAAUCUGGAUCGUGAUGCUCAUGAUUAUGGUCGAUGUGGCGACAAUACAGAUUAUAUGAAGAAUUAGAAAUCAUUUUCUUCUUUGGAUACUGUUUCCUCAACUUAAUUUCGCAAUAUUAUUUGUGUUUUCUCCAGAAUUUGGAGACGAGGAACAUCAGAUGUUCCUGAAUUUGAGUUUCUUGUUGACAUUUAGAAUUUUAGGAUUUUCAAGAGAAAAAAAUCAGAGAG